rnacentral:tRNA from 2 species
GGAGCUGUAUCGAAGCGGUCAUAACGAGGCGGUCUUGAAAACCGUUUGCCUUCACGGGCACCAGGGUUCGAAUCCCUGCGGCUCCGCCA